AGCGAACGCUAGCGGCGGGCCUAACACAUGCAAGUCGAGCGCAUACCUUCGGGUAUGAGCGGCGGACGGGUGAGUAACACGUAGGUAAUCUACCCUUUGGUGGGGAAUAACCCGGGGAAACUCGGGCUAAUGCCGCACGAGGUCUACGGAUCAAAGCCUUCGGGCGCCAGAGGAUGAGCCUGCGUUGCAUUACCUAGUUGGCGGGGUAACGGCCCACCAAGGGGACGAUGCAUAGCUGGUCUGAGAGGAUGAUCAGCCACACUGGGACUGAGACACGGCCCAGACUCCUACGGGAGGCAGCAGUGGGGAAUAUUGCGCAAUGGGGGGAAACCCUGACGCAGCUACGCCGCGUGGGUGAUGAAGGCCUUCGGGUUGUAAAGCCCUGUCGGGAGGGACGAAUACUGACGGUACCUCCCAAGAAAGACACCGGCUAACUACCGU
rnacentral:rRNA from 1 species